CGUCUCAGUAUUUCAAUACGUGUGAGAAUUGAAUUAUAUGUCAAUUAGAAUAUUUUCGCAAAUAGACCGAACUUGAUGUUUGAAAGGUGGUGGAAUUUGAGAAUGCAUGUUGCGCAGCCUAAAACAAAUGAUGGAAACAAAUAUUGGAAAUGCUGGCGCUCAAAUCUCGUUUGAAAAUUAUUUUCAGAGUUGAGGAAAUUACUUGAUUUGCUGUUGCCCAUUAUAAAAAUGACGUUAUUAUUUGCGGGAUUGUCGCACGCUUAUGUUAAGUAUUAUAGAUAAUUAAUUUUCUACCAUACAGAGCACGGCAACAAACGAUUCCAUAAACUUUGUUUGUCAAAUUGUAUUGAAUAGGCCCCAACACCUUCUACAGUUAUGGCCGAUCCAAUUCUGAAUUGUGAAGCUUAUCUGCUAACUCAGUCAUGGCAUUUUUUACUCAAAUUAAAUUUUCAUGUAAUUUUGCUGUUGUAGAAAUUGUGCAAAUGCGUGCAUAAUAAUUGCCAACUUAAUAAUUAUGAUAUUUGAAUUUAUAACACCGAUUAUUUUGAUUUACAUAAUUUUCAUAAAUAUGCACAAA